rnacentral:rRNA from 1 species
UACGGAGGGUGCAAGCGUUAUUCGGAAUUACUGGGCGUAAAGCGCGUGCAGGCGGGCCGGCAAGUCUGAUGUGAAAGCCCCGGGCUCAACCCGGGAAGUGCAUUGGAAACUGCUGGUCUUGAGUUCUGGAGAGGAAGGGGGAAUUCCCGGUGUAGAGGUGAAAUUCGUAGAGAUCGGGAGGAAUACCAGUGGCGAAGGCGCCCUUCUGGACGGCAACUGACGCUGAGACGCGAAAGCGUGGGGAG